GAUGAACGCUGGCGGCGUGCUUAACACAUGCAAGUCGAACGGUGAACACGGAGCUUGCUCUGUGGGAUCAAUGGCGAACGGGUGAGUAACACGUGAGCAACCUGCCCCUGACUCUGGGAUAAGCGCUGGAAACGGCGUCUAAUACUGGAUAUGUGACGUGACCGCAUGGUCUGCGUUUGGAAAGAUUUUUCGGUUGGGGAUGGGCUCGCGGCCUAUCAGCUUGUUGGUGAGGUAAUGGCUCACCAAGGCGUCGACGGGUAGCCGGCCUGAGAGGGUGACCGGCCACACUGGGACUGAGACACGGCCCAGACUCCUACGGGAGGCAGCAGUGGGGAAUAUUGCACAAUGGGCGCAAGCCUGAUGCAGCAACGCCGCGUGAGGGAUGACGGCCUUCGGGUUGUAAACCUCUUUUAGCAGGGAAGAAGCGAAAGUGACGGUACCUGCAGAAAAAGCGCCGGCUAACUACGUG
rnacentral:rRNA from 1 species